rnacentral:misc_RNA from 1 species
UUUCCGUAGGUGAACCUGCGGAAGGAUCAUUAGUGAAUAAACAAGUGCAGGUUGUGCUGGCCUUCUUGGUAUGUGCACGCCUGCCAGCUUCAUUCCAUCUUCCCACCUGUGCACUCUGUGUAGAUUCUGUAUGCUAUUGUCAAGCUUUUAUUGUGCUUGGUUGAGAGGAGUUGCUUGUUUCACCAACAAGCUCUUCUUGGGCAUGCAGGUCUAUGUUUAUAUCAACACCAUAUGAAUGUUUUAGAAUGUGCUUUAGGCUUUUUGGCCUUUAAAUUAUAUACAACUUUCAACAACGGAUCUCUUGGCUCUC